AGACCCGAAACCCGGUGAUCUAGCCAUGGGCAGGUUGAAGGUUGGGUAACACUAACUGGAGGACCGAACCGACUAAUGUUGAAAAAUUAGCGGAUGACCUGUGGCUGGGGGUGAAAGGCCAAUCAAACCGGGAGAUAGCUGGUUCUCCCCGAAAGCUAUUUAGGUAGCGCCUCGUGAAUUCAUCUCCGGGGGUAGAGCACUGUUUCGGCUAGGGGGCCAUCCCGGCUUACCAACCCGAUGCAAACUGCGAAUACCGGAGAAUGUUAUCACGGGAGACACACGGCGGGUGCUAACGUCCGUCGUGAAGAGGGAAACAACCCAGACCGCCAGCUAAGGUCCCAAAGUCAUGGUUAAGUGGGAAACGAUGUGGGAAGGCCCAGACAGCCAGGAUGUUGGCUUAGAAGCAGCCAUCAUUUAAAGAAAGCGUAAUAGCUCACUGGUCGAGUCGGCCUGCGCGGAAGAUGUAACGGGGCUAAACCAUGCACCGAAGCUGCGGCAGCGACGCUGAUGCGUUGUUGGGUAGGGGAGCGUUCUGUAAGCCUGUGAAGGUGUGUCGUGAGGCAUGCUGGAGGUAUCAGAAGUGCGAAUGCUGACAUAAGUAA
rnacentral:rRNA from 1 species